CUCUUUCUGGAAUCCUCUUUUCCUGCACAUCUGAACCCAAAUCUUGCUUCUUGGAAUCUGAUCCCAAAUCGACUUCCUGUAGGCAUCCCCCGAUGUUUUCUGCAGAUCCGUCCCCCGUCCCGGCGCCGGACGGGGAGGGCCGUUCUGGAAUCGCCGCGGUCGACGGCAUCCUGCACAUCUGAACAGCAGAUGAGGAAGCAGAUUGACAUCAAUACUCAAGCAGUGGAUCAGCAAUGACCAACAGUUAAUGGCCAAGCAACUUGAAGAAACAGGCACAGCAGUGGCAAGGUCGACACUCAACCAACACAGAUAUGAAGAAUCUUAGUACUCUGAUAGUGAUGAUAUCUCUGAAGCUCAUACACACCAUAAGCAUACCCACAGAGCAAGAAAGAAAGGUGGCCCACAGAAG
rnacentral:lncRNA from 1 species